rnacentral:ncRNA from 1 species
UUCGUGAGGGGUGCCUUAAAACAACGGGCUGAGAUCAUACCCUAUAACCUGAUCCGGGUAAUGCCGGCGUAGGUAGAAUGA